rnacentral:tRNA from 1 species
AAGGGUGUAGCUCAGUGGUAGAGCACAUGCUUAGCAUGCACAAGGUCCCGGGUUCAACCCCCAGUACCUCUA